UCCCGAGGUCCUUCGCGUUACUAUUUUUGAGUCCCGCCUAUUCUCUGCUCUCCUAAACCUUUAUAUGUGUCUUGGUUAAUUUGAAGACCAGGAAGUUGAUAGCUCCUGAGGCCGACUGCGGAAAGACGGUGGCUCGGUUGGGACAGUCGCCAGGGAUGGCGGAACGUGAGGAUGGAGCGAGUGUCCGGGCUGCUCUCCUGGACGCUGAGCAGGGUCCUAUGGCUCUCAGGCUUUUCUGAGCAGGGAGCUGCCCGGCAGCCCCGGACCAUGGAAGAGAAAGCGCUAGAGGUUUAUGAUUUGAUUCGAACUAUCCGGGACCCAGAAAAGCCCAAUACUUUAGAAGAACUGGAAGUGGUGACCGAGAGUUGUGUGGAGGUUCAGGAAAUAAAUGAAGAAGACUGUUUGGUUAUUAUCAAGUUCACACCAACAGCACCUCAUUGCUCUUUAGCAACUCUUAUUGGACUGUGCUUAAGAGUAAAACUUCAGCGGUGUCUGCCGUUCAAACACAAGCUGGAAAUCUACAUUUCUGAAGGAACUCACUCUACAGAAGAAGACAGUAAGUGAUGCCAAAUGCCACUUCAAACAGCAGCGGCUCGUCCUUCCUCCUGGGUCCUAGGUUAUCUAUUACUGGGGUACCUGCAAAGAGAGGGGACAGCAUCAGUUAUGCUUUUCCUUCACAGUCAACAAGCAGAUAAAUGACAAAGAGCGUGUGGCAGCUGCAAUGGAGAACCCCAACCUGCGGGAAAUCGUGGAACAGUGUGUCCUUGAGCCUGACUGAGACCAUCUGAAAAGCCAGUGACCUAUAACUGUUUGAGCUGUUUGUUUAAAUCUUUGUUGAGUAUGUAGGUGAUUUGUACCUCAAAGCAUUUUUUUAAAGUCUUUUUUUUUUUUUUUUUUUUUUUUUGGUUAUUUUGAGACAGAGUUCCUCUGUGUAACAGCCUUGGCUGUCCUGGAACUCACUCUGUAGACCAGGCUGUCUUGGAACUCACAGAGAUCUGCCAGCCUCUGCCUUCUGAGUGAUGGGAUUAAAGGUGUGCGCCACCUCCCAGGUUUUUUCAAGGAUUCUUUCCAGUAGGCUUCAGUUACCAGGUAGAACCUAAUUGUUCAGAGAGUAACAUUCUCAGGAUUUCUAACCUAAGUGAUCAGACAGAAAAAUAUUUUCUAGUUACUAUGUGUAAAAUUGUUACUAUUUUUCUGAUGACCAUUCUGAUACAACUGCUUUUCAUGUUAAAUAUCUACUGUGCCCAAAUUAUUUGAUUUAGAUGAACAUCCUAAUAAAUACAAUGAUGAUUCUUAUAA